UCUCUCUGAAUCUGCGAACGGCUCCGCAAACCAGUUGUAAACUAUAGCAAGCAGGCUCGGGGUCGGCUCUCACGGGCUGGCUUCGGGCGAUAUGGAUAACCCUGGUAAUUCUGAGGCUAAUACAUGAACGUAAAACCUGGCCAACCGGGCUUCGGCUUGGAAGGCUGGGGGAUGUGUGAUUGCAGGCUUGGGUAACACCGGGAAAGGGCACACGUCCAGACCGCGCUAUAAAGGAUGGGACCCCUUCGGGGGACCUACCCCAGCGGCUCUUGCUGUGUGCUUCUGACCUAUCAACUAGACGGCAGCGUAAGGGACAUGCUAUGGUGACAACGGGUACAGAGGAUUAGGGUUCGAUCCUGGAGAGUGGGCCUGAGAGAUU
rnacentral:rRNA from 1 species